rnacentral:tRNA from 1 species
GCCUAGCUGGCUCGGUCUGUGGAGCAUGUGACUCGUGAUCUCAGGGUUGUGGGUUCAAGCCCCACGAUGGGUG